rnacentral:rRNA from 1 species
CCUACGGGAGGCAGCAGUGGGGAAUCUUGCACAAUGGGGGAAACCCUGAUGCAGCGAUGCCGCGUGAGUGAAGAAGGCCUUUGGGUUGUAAAACUCUUUCGUCGGGGAAGAAAAUGACUGUACCCGAAUAAGAAGGUCCGGCUAACUUCGUGCCAGCAGCCGCGGUAAUACGAAGGGACCUAGCGUAGUUCGGAAUUACUGGGCUUAAAGAGCUCGUAGGUGGUUAAAAAAGUUGAUGGUGAAAUCCCAAGGCUCAACCUUGGAACUGCCAUCAAAACUUUUUAGCUAGAGUGUGAUAGAGGUAAGUGGAAUUUCUGGUGUAGAGGUGAAAUUCGUAGAGAUCAGAAGGAACAUCAAUGGCGAAGGCAGCUCUCUGGCCAAAGACUGACGCUCAUGUGCGAAAGUGUGGGUAGCGAACAGGAUUAGAUACCCUGGUAGUCCACACCGUAAACGCUGUCUACUAGCUGUAUGUGUAUUUAAUACGUGUGUAGCGAAGCUAACGCGCUAAGUAGACCGCCUGGGGAGUACGGUCGCAAGAUUAAAACUCAAAUGAAUUGACGGA